rnacentral:rRNA from 1 species
AGAGUUUGAUCAUGGCUCAGAUUGAACGUUGGCGGCAGGCCUCAUACAUGCAAGUCGAACGAGAAAGGUCCUUCGGGACUGAUUACAGUGGCGGACGGGUGAGUAAGGCGUAGGAAUCUACCUUGUAGUGGGGGACAACUCGGGGAAACUCGAGCUAAUACCGCAUAAUCUCCAAGGAGGAAAGCGGGGGAUCUUCGGACCUCGCGCUACUAGAGGAGCCUACGUUGGAUUAGCUUGUUGGUGGGGUAAUGGCCCACCAAGGCGACGAUCCAUAGCUGGUCCGAGAGGACGAUCAGCCACACUGGAACUGAGACACGGUCCAGACAACUACGGUUGGCAGCAGUAGGGAAUAUUGCACAAUGGGCGAAAGCCUGAUGCAGCCAUGCCGCGUGUGUGAAGAAGGCUCUAGGGUUGUAAAGCACUUUCAGUGGUGAAGAAACACUCGAG